rnacentral:lncRNA from 1 species
GGGUUGAGAAACUGACUGAAGUUUCUAUCAGCUCUGAUGCCUUCUUCCCUUUCCGAGAUAACGUAGACAGAGCUAAAAGGAGUGGUGUGGCGUACAUUGCGGCUCCCUCCGGUUCUGCUGCUGACAAAGUUGUGAUUGAGGCCUGCGACGAACUGGGAAUCAUCCUCGCUCAUACGAACCUUCGGCUCUUCCACCACUGAUUUUACCACACACUGUUUUUUGGCUUGCUUAUGUGUAGGUGAACAGUCACGCCUGAAACUUUGAGGAUAACUUUUAAAAAAAAUAAAACAGUAUCUCUUAAUCACUAAAUCCAUAGUUUUUGGUAGUUGUGUUUUAUGUUAAAGAUGCAGGCUCUUUGAACUGACACAUGACAUAUAAAUGAGGAAUUCCAGAGCACCCCUGCCUACCGGAGCUCAGCCCAUCCCACAGCGCUGCCCGUGUGAAACAUAAACAUUAACAGGAACCAAACGAGCUGAACAGCCAGAGGACAUGGCACAAGUCACUGUGUACAGGCCACACGUAAGGACUGGGAGUUAUACCCAUCUUAAAGGUGGAGUAUUGAUGUAAAUUACCUAGAAUUCUUCUGCAUGGCAGUUGUAUGUUAAAGCUCCAUGUUUCCUCCUAGGGGAGUCUUCUCAUGCCAUUUUUGUUUGUUUGUUUGUUUUUCAUUUUUUUAAUUUAUUUUUUUGAGAGGGAGUCUCAAAAAAAUAGCUCUGUCACUCAGGCUAGAGUCAGUGGCACCAUCUUGGCUCACUGCAACCUCCGCCUCCCGCGUUCAAGCGAUUCUCCUGCCUCAGCCUCCCGAGUAGCUGGGACUACAGGCGUGUGCCACCAUGCCUGGCUAAUUUUUGUAUUUAGUAGAGACAGGGUGUCACCAUGUUGGUCAGGCUGGUCUGGAACUCUUGACCUCGUGAUCCACCCGCCCUGGCCUCCCAAAGUGCUGGGAUUACGGGCGUGAGCCACCGUGCCCGGCCCUCAUGCCAUUUAUUUUUAAUCACACUUCUGAGAAGCUUGGUUGUCUGCUUUCCAAACAAACAGCAGAUUGGCACCUGUGAACUGGAACCUUAGAGGGAAUUGGUUUAAGUCUUGUUGACCCCCUGUAUGGAUAAUCUGAUGUAUAUUUUUCUCAGUGCUAAGUGAAAUGUUUCCCAGAAUUUCAGCAGCCCGAGAUUCACCCUCUGGAGCUGCAUAAAAAUGUAGUCAAUAUUUUGUGCUCAGAAAUUGUACCCAAUAUUCCAAUUACAGGCUUAAUCACUGCAGUGGGCACAGUGGGAGGGCAGUGCCUUCCUUCGUCAGGACAGACCUGUGCAUCUGUGUGUCCUGCCUGUGUGCUCCUGACCAUUCCCGUGCAUUGCACCUGUGUUCAACUAAAACCCUUUGCCGUUGUUCACCUUUACCAAUGAGUCCUACCCUCUUCCCAAGUCUUUAACUUAUCCCCUUGCUAAAUAAAAAUUUCUGAAGUUUUUUCUUAAUGGUCAUCUUUCUAAGUUAUUUCUGGUUCAGCUAAUCUUCCAGCCCCGGCAUAGGACCUGUCCACAUUGAAACAAGGCUGACUUGUGUGAUCAGUAAAAUACUGCAGAAAAAAUAAGACUUUUGAGGCUAGGUCCUAAUACAUUGCAACUUCAGCCUUAGUUUCCUGGAUUACUUCCUCUGGGAUAAGCCAAGACCACGUUGUAAGAGUUAAGCAGCCCUCCACAAGGAGAGAAGCCAUCUUGCUUACACUAGUUGCCAGCCACAUGAGUGAGCCACCUCAGAGGUGGAUCCUCCAGCUUCAGUCCCAGGCAACAUCUGGCUUCAACCUCUUCAGAGACCUGAGCCAGAACUGCCCAAAAGAGUUCUUGAAUUCCUGACCCACAGAUACAGAGAGAUGCAUUAAGCCACAAAGUUCUGGGGUAAUUAUGUAGCAGUAAAUAGCUAAUACAGAUUUUGGCUUGUAAAUUAAGUGUGCAUUGUCUUUUUCAUGGUUCUUUGGUUUGACCAAAGGUUAACAUUAAGGGUGUGAUAAUGGGAACAGGCUGGGCACUGUGUCUCCUGUCUAUAAUCCCAGCACUUUG